CGCUUCACUCCUACGGGAGGCAGCAGUGGGGAAUAUUGCACAAUGGGGGAAACCCUGAUGCAGCCAUGCCGCGUGUGUGAAGAAGGCCUUCGGGUUGUAAAGCACUUUCAGUAGGGAGGAAGGUAGUGUAGUUAACACCUGCAUUAUUUGACGUUACCUACAGAAGAAGCACCGGCUAACUCCGUGCCAGCAGCCGCGGUAAUACGGAGGGUGCGAGCGUUAAUCGGAAUUACUGGGCGUAAAGCGCAUGCAGGCGGCCUGUUAAGUCAGAUGUGAAAGCCCGGGGCUUAACCUCGGAAUUGCAUUUGAAACUGGCAGGCUAGAGUCUUGUAGAGGGGGUAGAAUUUCAGGUGUAGCGGUGAAAAUGCGUAGAGAUCUGAAGGAAUACCAGUGGCGAAGGCGGCCCCCUGGACAAAGACUGACGCUCAGAUGCGAAAGCGUGGGGAGCAAACAGGAUUAGAUACCCUGGUAG
rnacentral:rRNA from 1 species